ACAUCACAUUAAAAUACCAGUUCCUGUAUGAUCACCAAAGUUAAGCAAUGUUGAGCCUACUCAGAACCCAUAUGGGUGACCACUUGAGAAUACUAGGUGUUGUAAG